AUUGAACGCUGGCGGCAUGCCUUACACAUGCAAGUCGAACGGCAGCACAGCAGUAGCAAUACUGUGGGUGGCGAGUGGCGGACGGGUGAGGAAUACAUCGGAAUCUGCCUAGUCGUGGGGGAUAACGUAGGGAAACUUACGCUAAUACCGCAUACGACCUACGGGUGAAAGCGGGGGAUCGCAAGACCUCGCGCGAUUAGAUGAGCCGAUGUCCGAUUAGCUAGUUGGCGGGGUAAUGGCCCACCAAGGCGACGAUCGGUAGCUGGUCUGAGAGGAUGAUCAGCCACACUGGAACUGAGACACGGUCCAGACUCCUACGGGAGGCAGCAGUGGGGAAUAUUGGACAAUGGGCGCAAGCCUGAUCCAGCCCAUGCCGCGUGGGUGAG
rnacentral:rRNA from 1 species